AGGGAAUAUUGCUCAAUGGGGGAAACCCUGAAGCAGCAACGCCGCGUGAGUGAUGAAGGCCUUCGGGUCGUAAAGCUCUGUUGUACGAGGCGAAUGCUAUUAUGGCUAACAUCCAUGGUAGUUGACAGUAUCGUAUAAGAAAGGACCGGCUAACUUCGUGCCAGCAGCCGCGGUAAGACGGGGGGUCCUAGCGUUGUUCGGAAUUAUUGGGCGUAAAGCGUGUGCAGGUGGUUUUGUAAGUUGGGUGUGAAAGCCCCGGGCUUAACCUGGGAAGUGCACUCAAAACUGCAAGACUUGAGUACUGGAGAGGAUCGUAGAAUUCCUGGUGUAGUGGUGAAAUACGUAGAUAUCAGGAGGAAUACCGGUGGCGAAGGCGGCGAUCUGGCCAAAUACUGACACUCAUACACGAAAGCGUGGGGAUCAAAC
rnacentral:rRNA from 1 species